UGCGUAGGCGGUGCGGUAAGUCUUCUGUGAAAUCUCCGGGCUCAACUCGGAGUCUGCAGGGGAAACUGCCGUGCUGGAGUAUGGGAGAGGUGAGUGGAAUCCCCGGUGUAGCGGUGAAAUGCGUAGAUAUCGGGAGGAACACCUGUGGCGAAAGCGGCUCACUGGACCAUUACUGACGCUGAUGCACGAAAGCUAGGGGAGCAAACAGGAUUAGAUACCCUGGUAGUCCUAGCCCUAAACGAUGAUCGCUUGGUGUGACAGGUACCCAAUCCUGUCGUGCCGGAGCUAACGCGUUAAGCGAUCCGCCUGGGGAGUACGGUCGCAAGGCUGAA
rnacentral:rRNA from 1 species